rnacentral:rRNA from 1 species
GACGAACGCUGGCGGCGUGCCUAAUACAUGCAAGUAGAACGCUGAAGGAGGAGCUUGCUUCUCCGGAUGAGUUGCGAACGGGUGAGUAACGCGUAGGUAACCUGCCUGGUAGCGGGGGAUAACUAUUGGAAACGAUAGCUAAUACCGCAUAAUAGUAGAUGUUGCAUGACAUUUGCUUAAAAGGUGCAAUUGCAUCACUACCAGAUGGACCUGCGUUGUAUAAGCUAGUUGGUGAGGUAACGGCUCACCAAGGCAACGAUACAUAGCCGACCUGAGAGGGUGAUCGGCCACACUGGGACUGAGACACGGCCCAGACUCCUACGGGAGGUAGCAGUAGGGAAUCUUCGGCAAUGGACGGAAGUCUGACCGAGCAACGCCGCGUGAGUGAAGAAGGUUUUCGGAUCGUAAAGCUCUGUUGUAAGAGAAGAACGAGUGUGAGAGUGGAAAGUUCACACUGUGACGGUAUCUUACCAGAAAGGGACGGC